AGCUAGCAUGGUGUAGUGGUUUGAGUGUUGGACUGCAACUCUGAAGACCAGGGUUCAAAUCCCAGCUUGGCCA